rnacentral:rRNA from 1 species
AACGAACGCUGGCGGCAGGCCUAACACAUGCAAGUCGAGCGGAUCCUUCGGGAUUAGCGGCGGACGGGUGAGUAACGCGUGGGAAUAUGCCCUUCUCUACGGAAUAGCCUCGGGAAUCUGGGAGUAAUACCGUAUACGCCCUACGGGGGAAAGAUUUAUCGGAGAAGGAUUAGCCCGCGUUGGAUUAGGUAGUUGGUGGGGUAAUGGCCUACCAAGCCUACGAUCCAUAGCUGGUUUGAGAGGAUGAUCAGCCACACUGGGACUGAGACACGGCCCAUACUCCUACGGGAGGCAGCAGUGGGGAAUCUUAGACAAUGGGGGAAACCCUGAUCUAGCCAUGCCGCGUGAGUGAUGAAGGCCUUAGGGUUGUAAAGCUCUUUCAGCUGGGAAGAUAAUGACGGUACCAGCAGAAGAAGCCCCGGCUAACUCCGUGCCAGCCGCCGCGGUAAGAC